AAAAAACUCGUAGUUGGAUUUCUGGAGCGACCGGUCUCACACCCUGUGUGAGAACUUGUGUUGUCUCUGGCCAUCCUUGGGGAGAUCCUGUUUGGCAUUCAGUUGUCGGGCAGGGGAUACCCAUCGUUUACUGUGAAAAAAUUAGAGUGUUUAAAGCAGGCUUAUGCCGUUGAAUAUAUUAGCAUGGAAUAAUAAGAUAGGUCUUUGGUACUAUUUUGUUGGUUUGCGCACCAGAGAAAUGAUUAAUAGGGACAGUUGGGGCUAUUCGUAUUCCAUUGUCAGAGGUGAAAUUCUUGGAUUUCUGGAAGACGAACUACUGCGAAAGCAUUUAGCAAGGAUGUUUUCAUUAAUCAAGAACGAAAGUUAG
rnacentral:rRNA from 1 species